rnacentral:rRNA from 1 species
UACAGAGGUCUCAAGCGUUGUUCGGAUUCAUUGGGCGUAAAGGGUGCGUAGGCGGCGCGGUAAGUCGGGUGUGAAAUCUUGGAGCUUAACUCCGAAACUGCAUUCGAUACUGCCGUGCUUGAGGACUGGAGAGGAGACUGGAAUUUACGGUGUAGCUGGUGAAAUGCGUAGAUAAUCGUAAGGAAGACCAGUGGCGAAGGCGGGUCUCUGGACAGUUCCUGACGCUGAGGCACGAAGGUCAGGGGAGCAAACGGG